rnacentral:tRNA from 1 species
GCCUGUGUAGCUCAGUGGUAGAGCAAUUCACUUGUAAUGAAUAGGUCGGGGGUUCAACUCCCUCCGCAGGCU